AGGGUGUUCUCCUUGGAGCCUCUCCAGGAUCCUGGCGUCAUCCGCCGGGUCAGCUUUGCUUUGGAGACGGCCGAGGGAGGUUGUGAGUCCCGCUAGAUUCCUACCGGACCCGAGGACCUGGAGUGCCAUGAGUCAGGCCCUGGGCUAGACGACCCGCAUCCCUCAGACCCCCUGUCCCCCUCCACGGGAAGUUCCAGCAGGCCCAGGACCUUUCUGCCUUGCCCAGCUGGAUCCCCAGCAUCUGGCCCCGUUCCUGUCACAGAGAAGACCCCAGAGGUUGCAAAUAAACAUUUGCUGGGUGAAGAAAACAAAUCCUUACAUUUACAGAUAGUAAGAGCAGGGUCACACACCAUAUCCAUCACUGAAGAAGGACCACAGUCAAAACAUGACAUUUAUCAACCAGCUACUAUAUGCAAGGUCCUGGGUGCCAGCUCGUUUCAUGCCCUCUGCACAUCCUGGAGCAGAAUCACAGGUGUUGGAAAAGAAGUCUUUUGAGAGCACAAAGCAACAAGUGAUCCUGAGUCCAGUGACCUCAGGCAUGUGUGUGCCACACACCGGGGCAGUUAGAGGUGGUCCGGGGAGAUUCUCAGAGCCAAGGCCAAGAGUUUCAAGCUUUCUGAGGGUAUGGGUAAAUGGAGGCCCAGGAAGUCCCUUGCCUGAAAUUCUGAAGCCAGACAAUGAGGAAGGCUGCUGGGUUGGAAGAUGGGUCAGAUGAGCUCAUCAGCCCGGCUGUGACUACUGCCUCCUUUCGUUCUUCUUCGCUCGGAGCUGCGACAGCCUCUCCCCAGACUCACUCAGCUUCCCACCUCAGACCCUUUACACACACUGUUCACUCUGCCAGGAACUCUGUUCUCUCCCCUCUUUCCUGCCUCCUUCCUCCUCCUCCAGGCUCUCAGCCAGACCACCACUGUGACCCUCUGUUUUUUGGCCUCAUUUACACUAUAUUUUUCCUUCUUAGGAUUGUUCAAAAACUGUAAUUAAAUAAUUAUUUAUGGGGCCAUUUAUUAAAAGUCAGCCUCCCCACUAGAGAACCAGCCUCAGCAGGGAGGGCCUUGGUCCCUGAUCGUUGCCUCCCCUUCGGUUUUGGCACACAGUAGGCACACAAUCAAUAAACACAUGUUGAAUAAACAAAUGAACAAAGGAA